GGAGGGGAGUGAAAUAGAUCCUGAAACCGCAUGCUUACAAAAAGUCGGAGCCCGCAAGGGUGACGGCGUACCUUUUGUAUAAUGGGUCAGCGACUUACAUUCAGUGGCGAGGUUAACCGAAUAGGGAAGCCGUAGAGAAAUCGAGUCCGAACAGGGCGAACAGUCGCUGGGUGUAGACCCGAAACCAAGUGAUCUAUCCAUGGCCAGGAUGAAGGUGCCGUAACAGGUACUGGAGGUCCGAACCGACUAGUGUUGCAAAACUAGCGGAUGAGCUGUGGAUAGGGGUGAAAGGCUAAACAAACUUGGAAAUAGCUGGUUCUCUCCGAAAACUAUUUAGGUAGUGCCUCGAGUCUCACUACAGGGGGUAGAGCACUGUUAUGGCUAGGGGGUCAUCGCGACUUACCAAACCAUGGCAAACUCCGAAUACCUGUAAGUGCAAUCUCGGGAGACAGACAUCGGGUGCUAACGUCCGGUGUCAAGAGGGAAACAACCCAGACCGCCAGC
rnacentral:rRNA from 1 species